rnacentral:rRNA from 1 species
CAGCCGCCGCGGUAAUACGAAGGUCCCGAGCGUUGUUCGGAAUCACUGGGCGUAAAGGGAGCGUAGGCGGCGUGGUAAGUCAGAUGUGAGAUCCCGGGGCUCAACCCCGGAACUGCAUCCGAUACUGCCAUGCUAGAGGAUUGGAGAGGUAGCUGGAAUUCUUGGUGUAGCAGUGAAAUGCGUGGAGAUCAAGAGGAACACUCGUGGCGAAAGCGAGCUACUGGACAAUAACUGACGCUGAGGCUCGAAGGCCAGGGUAGCGAAAGGGAUUAGAUACCCGCGUAGUCCCUGUCUCUUAUAC